rnacentral:tRNA from 1 species
AGAAAGUGACAGAGUGGGUUUGUGUCUGGCUUGAAACCAGGAGAUGGGGGUUCGAUUCCCUCCUUUCUC